UGUCUUCCACGUACCACGCUCCCGAACCAGUGUACCAUGCCCCUUCCCACUACAAGCAGCCUGAAUACCCUACCGUACCACCAAAGUACAACUACAACUACGGUGUUGUCGAUGGCUAUUCCGGCGCCAACUCGCCGCCCUCGGAGUCCCGCGACGGCUACAAGACCGAGGGCAGCUACACCGUGGACCUCCCCGACGGCCGCAAGCAGAUCGUCAAAUACGUGGACAACGGCGACGGUCUCGUAGCUGAGGUCACCUACGAGGGCGAGGCUCAGUACCCCGAGUACAAGCCCACCUACAAGCCCGCUCCCUACCACGCUCCCCCGAAGUACCCCGUGUACUAAGUGUGCACCCUCAAGCACAACACACUUUCCCUCUAUCUCAACCCAUCCAUCAUAUGUGCCAAAGCAUAACCAAUGAGUUCUGCUUGACACUGCAUAGAUGGGUUAAGAAUAUGUGAUAUUAUUUAGAUUUCCUUUUAUAAUAAAAUAUAUCCAAAAGAA
rnacentral:lncRNA from 1 species